AUUGAACGCUGGCGGAAUGCUUUACACAUGCAAGUCGAACGGUAGAGGGGCAACCCUUGAGAGUGGCGAACGGGUGAGUAAUGUAUCGGAACAUGCCCAGUCGUGGGGGAUAACGUAGCGAAAGUUACGCUAAUACCGCAUACGAUCUAUGGAUGAAAGCGGGGGAUCGCAAGACCUCGCGCGAUUGGAGUGGCCGAUAUCAGAUUAGGUAGUUGGUGGGGUAAAGGCCUACCAAGCCGACGAUCUGUAGCUGGUCUGAGAGGACGACCAGCCAAGCUGGGACUGAGACACGGCCCAGACUCCUACGGGAGGCAGCAGUGGGGAAUUUUGGACAAUGGGCGCAAGCCUGAUCCAGCCAUUCCGCGUGCAGGAAGAAGGCCUUCGGGUUGUAAACUGCUUUUGUACGGAACGAAACGCGCUGAGCUAAUACCUCGGCGUAAUGACGGUACCGUAAGAAUAAGCACCGGCUAACUACGUGCCAGCCGCCGCGGUAA
rnacentral:rRNA from 1 species